rnacentral:rRNA from 1 species
GACGAACGCUGGCGGCGUGCUUAACACAUGCCAGUCGAACGGAAAGGCCCUGCUUUUGUGGGGUGCUCGAGUGGCGAACGGGUGAGUAACACGUGAGUAACCUGCCCUUGACUUUGGGAUAACUUCAGGAAACUGGGGCUAAUACCGGAUAGGAGCUCCUGCUGCAUGGUGGGGGUUGGAAAGUUUCGGCGGUUGGGGAUGGACUCGCGGCUUAUCAGCUUGUUGGUGGGGUAGUGGCUUACCAAGGCUUUGACGGGUAGCCGGCCUGAGAGGGUGACCGGCCACAUUGGGACUGCGAUACGGACCAGACUGCUACGGGAGGCAGCAGUGGGGAAUAUUGCACAAUGGGCGGAAGCCUGAUGCAGCAACGCCGCGUGCGGGAUGACGGCCUUCGGGUUGUAAACCGCUUUCGCCUGUGACGAAGCGUGAGUGACGGUAAUGGGUAAAGAAGCACCGGCUAACUACGUG